AACGCUAGCUACAGGCUUAACACAUGCAAGUCGAAGGGCAGCAUGGUCUUAGCUUGCUAAGGCCGAUGGCGACCGGCGCACGGGUGAGUAACACGUAUCCAACCUGCCGUCUACUCUUGGACAGCCUUCUGAAAGGAAGAUUAAUACAAGAUGGCAUCAUGAGUUCACAUGUUCACAUGAUUAAAGGUAUUCCGGUAGACGAUGGGGAUGCGUUCCAUUAGAUAGUAGGCGGGGUAACGGCCCACCUAGUCUUCGAUGGAUAGGGGUUCUGAGAGGAAGGUCCCCCACAUUGGAACUGAGACACGGUCCAAACUCCUACGGGAGGCAGCAGUGAGGAAUAUUGGUCAAUGGGCGCAGGCCUGAACCAGCCAAGUAGCGUGAAGGAUGACUGCCCUAUGGGUUGUAAACUUCUUUUAUAAAGGAAUAAAGUCGGGUAUGUAUACCCGUUUGCAUGUACUUUAUGAAUAAGGAUCGGCUAACUCCGUGCCAGCAGCCGCGGUAAUACGGAGGAUCCGAGCGUUAUCCGGAUUUAUUGGGUUUAAAGGGAGCGUAGAUGGAUGUUUAAGUCAGUUGUGAAAGUUUGCGGCUCAACCGUAAAAUUGCAGUUGAUACUGGAUAUCUUGAGUGCAGUUGAGGCAGGCGGAAUUCGUGGUGUAGCGGUGAAAUGCUUAGAUAUCACGAAGAACUCCGAUUG
rnacentral:rRNA from 1 species